UACGUAGGGCGCGAGCGUUGUCCGGAAUUAUUGGGCGUAAAGAGCUCGUAGGCGGCUUGUUGCGUCUGCUGUGAAAUCCCGGGGCUUAACCCCGGGCGUGCAGUGGAUACGGGCAGGCUGGAGGCAGGCAGGGGAGAAUGGAAUUCCCGGUGUAGCGGUGAAAUGCGCAGAUAUCAGGAGGAACACCGGUGGCGAAGGCGGCCAACUGGGCCGUCACUGACGCUGAGGCGCGAAAGCUCGGGGAGCGAACGGG
rnacentral:rRNA from 1 species